CGGGCGCACCAGGCGCGAAAACUCUACAAUGCAGGCAACUGCGAUAGGGGGACAUCGAGUGGCAUCCACCUUGGGUGCCUGUCCAACCGUCUAAAAAACGGUUGUUAGCAAGGGCCGGGUAAGACCGGUGCCAGCCGCCGCGGUAAUACCGGCGGCUCGAGUGGUGGCCGAUAUUAUUGAGUCUAAAGGGUCCGUAGCCGGCUUUCCAAGUCCCCUGGGAAAUCCAGCGGCUUAACCGUUGGGCUUUCAUGGGAUACUACAUUGCUUGGGACUGGGAGAGGUAGGAGGUACUCGGGGGGUAGGGGUGAAAUCCUGUAAUCCUCCGGGGACCACCGGUGGCGAAGGCGUCCUACCAGAACAAGUCCGACGGUGAGGGACGAAAGCUAGGGGCACGAACCGGAUUAGAUACCCGGGUAGUCCUAGCCGUAAACGAUGCCCGCUAGGUGUCACGACGGUCGUGAAUCGUCGUGGUGCCGUAGGGAAGCCGCGAAGCGGGCCACUUGGGAAGUACGGCCGCAAGGCUGAAACUUAAAGGAAUUGGCGGGGGAGCACAAGGGCGAAUCGCG
rnacentral:rRNA from 1 species